CAGGUUGAUUUUUUUGUGCAGGUUGUUUGUGGAGACCAUUUUGAACCAGACUGUUUCGAGUAUGAUCUCCAAGCAAGAGUUUUAGGGGUAGAGCCACAUCUGAAACUGAAAGGAGAUGCAGUCCCUACUCUCUUUGUUCAUAGAAAGAGACAGGGAGAAGUGAAGAGAGAUGAGAGAAGGGAUCGCCUGAUAGAAAGGAAAAGAAAGCAGGUAACUCAAAUAGGCUUAAACACACAGACAUUUUUCACUUUAAAUUUAAUUAUUUAUAAUGAUCUACCCCUAAGUUUUUUAAAUAUAGGUACAUAUGUGAGUUGACAUAAGUAUGACUAAUAUGUUGACCAGAAUGUAAGUUUCAAAAUAUAGCAAGGGUGAUUAUAUCAAGUUCAGUGGAAUAUAUCACAACUUGCUGGGGUUGCAUACUUACUUAAUUAUUUUCUUUUUGAGGUUAUCAACAGUGUCAUCAGCUCUCCAGCCACCACAAAAAGCAGGAAGUCAAAGAAGAAAUCAUCAGAUCAUGGCCCCAAGAAGAGAGGCUUGAAUUCCAACCAUGGAAACAUUGAAGUUUGCUCCAUUAGUAUUGGCGUGCAGACCGAAGACUGGUGUGUUGGUUGCGGCCACACAAAUCACCACCGCUGCAGUGGUCCUGAGGCAUCUCCUUUCACCACCUCGCUGGAUCAUGCCUACUGUUCACUGUCAGAGCAAAAGGAAGAGGUUUGCCGAUAUAUGUCAGGAUUAUGAAUCAUGUGACAGUGUUGUUGAUGAUUUGAAUAAAUCAACUGUUCUUAGCGACUCAUUUUC